GACGAACGCUGGCGGCGUGCUUAACACAUGCAAGUCGAACGGAAAGGCCCUGCUUUUGUGGGGUGCUCGAGUGGCGAACGGGUGAGUAACACGUGAGUAACCUGCCCUUGACUUUGGGAUAACUUCAGGAAACUGGGGCUAAUACCGGAUAGGAGCUCCUGCUGCAUGGUGGGGGUUGGAAAGUUUCGGCGGUUGGGGAUGGACUCGCGGCUUAUCAGCUUGUUGGUGGGGUAGUGGCUUACCAAGGCUUUGACGGGUAGCCGGCCUGAGAGGGUGACCGGCAACAUUGGGACUGAGAUACGGCCCAGACGCCUACGGGAGGCAGCAGUGGGGAAUAUUGCGCAAUGGGCGGAAGCCUGAUGCAGCAACGCCGCGUGCGGGAUGACGGCCUUCGGGUGGUAAACCGCUUUCGCCUGUGACGAAGCGUGAGUGACGGUAAUGGGUAAAGAAGCACCGGCUAACUACGUG
rnacentral:rRNA from 1 species